rnacentral:rRNA from 1 species
GUAACGGCGAGUGAAGCGGGACUAGCUCAGGAUGUGAAUCUGCGCUGUAUGGCGCCGAAUUGUGGUCUAUAGACUUUGACGUUAUCUGCCGGGCCAAGUUCCUUGGAAAAGGACAGCUGAGAGGGUGAGACUCCCGUCCGCCUGGUAGAGUGAGUCGUUGUCAACGAGUCGAGUUGUUUGGGAUUGCAGCUCUAAUUUGGUGGUAAAUUCCAUCUAAAGCUAAAUAUUGGUGGGAGACCGAUAGCGUACAAGUACCGUGAGGGAAAGAUGCAAAGAACUUUGAAAAGAGAGUUAAAGAGUACCUGAAAUUGCUGAAACGGAAGCGAAGGAAACCAGUGUUUGUUGGUUCAUAUUUCCCUGGCCACUUGUGGUUUGGGCGCUGUGAGCUUGCGUGGGUUUGCUUUGGUUGAUCCCUUUGGAAGAGCGCAGUCAGAGUUGAUGUCUGUUGCUAGCACUGGGUUUGACUAAUGCAGACGAAAUGGUUUUCUUUACCCCGUCUUGAAACACGGACCAAGGAGUCUAACAUAUGUGCGAGUACAGGGGUGUCAAACCCCGGUGCGUAAUGAAAGUGACAGUGGUUGGAUAUUUGCACAAUCCGCCGGCCUCAAUCCUUCGGGAGAACGGUCUGAGUGUGAGCAUACAUGUUGGGACCCGA